GACGAACGCUGGCGGCGUGCCUAAUACAUGCAAGUAGAACGCUGAAGAGAGGAGCUUGCUCUUCUUGGAUGAGUUGCGAACGGGUGAGUAACGCGUAGGUAACCUGCCUGGUAGCGGGGGAUCACUAUUGGAAACGAUAGCUAAUACCGCAUAAAAUGGAUUAUCGCAUGAUAAUCCAUUGAAAGGUGCAAAUGCAUCACUACCAGACGGACUUGCGUUGUAUUAGCUAGUUGGUGGGGUAACGGCGCACCAAGGCGGCGAUACAUAGCGGACCUGAUAGGGUGAUCGGCCACACUGGGAGUGUGACACGCCCCAGACUCCUACGGGAGGCAGCAGUAGGGAAUCUGCGGCAAUGGACGGAAGUCUGACCGCGCAACGCCGCGUGAGUGAAGAAGGUUUUCGGAUCGUAAAGCUCUGUUGUAAGAGAAGAACGAGUGUUAGAGUGGAAAGUUCACACUGUGACGGUAUCUUACCAGAAAGGGACGGCUAACUACGUG
rnacentral:rRNA from 1 species